UAUUAUGGCCAGCUCAUGAGUCCAACCCAUAUAUUUAAGGUCCACAGAUAAAGUGGGUCUGAAAAUUGAGCCUCCUCCACUUCUUCUUCUUCUUUUUCUUCUCUCUCCUGUGAAUUAUUUCUUGCUCUUGGAGAACUUCCCUGAAGAUCAUGUAGGUACUCAUACUCUGAGACUAACACUUUGAUUGAACCCAUUGGGUACUGUGAACCACCGAGAUUCUCUCCCUUUGGACCUGGACAGCUCAACCGGAAAUGGACCAGCACUUAUGCUCUGGCCGAAGAAUAUAGGUAGAACAACAACGACGUGAGGUUCUUGGUGGACAACUCUCCGAAGAAGAAGUUGCUGUGCUUGUAGAAUGGUUUUGUCGUAACGAUUGUUCUCAACAGAUUAAUUUGGGUACUCUCUCUCUCUCUCUAUGUAUAUACAUGUACGUGUGUGUAUGUGCUAUAUUCUAAUUUGAUUUGCCUCUUUCCAGUUCAAUUUUCUGAAUGAUGAAGCUAUACAACUUAGGGUUUGAUUUUCAUUAAAAAAUUUAUUAGUGACAAUUUGAAUUCAUGUGAUUUGAUGCAUGAUGCAUUAUUUUUGCUGAUUAGUUAGACUGAUGGAAUGUGUGAGUAUAAACAUGUAUAAAUUUCACAUAUUGGCUCUUGUUGUCAACCAACUAGUGUGUUUGCUCAUUGAAUGAAGAAACUGAAGUAAUUAGACAUUUA